UCAUCAACGCACCCGCCAGUGUUCGAUA
rnacentral:sRNA from 1 species